CGUGCCCUAAAUCCCCACUCGCGUCAUCUUCUUCCCAAUCCCGAACCCAUCACCGUCGAUUUCCUUCCUUCCCCUCUCCCUCACGCGACGCACAGCGUCUUCUCCUCCUCCCCAACUCUGUUGCGCUUUCUCUUUUCCCUCUCCUCCGCUCGUUGAAGCUCGACCCAUCGCCGGCCAGCAGCGGAGAGAUCGACGGCCGCCUCAGGCCCGAUCGCGCCAGCAGUCCGAUCCCUCUCGUGCCUCUGCCCUAGUUCGGUCCUCACCCUCUCGCCGGCCACCACCGCCGUCCCCUCUGAGCUGCUCUCCCCGCAUGAGUUGCCUUCGACCAAGAGCAAGGAUGCGCCGUCACCUCUUUCCCGAUCAUAGUGGAGGCUAUCCAUCGCUGAGGUCCAUGCCCUAGUUUUGCCAUCGCCGCCGCUCUCCCUCACGACCUGGUCAUGUUGUCUUGCCGAACGCCGACGCAUUGACACCAACCUUCUGCGUGAGAUCCUCCAGUGAGGCAUCGGAUAUCGCCAUCGCGGGAGGCGACGCUGUCAGCUUGAUGAUGCUGCCCAUCUCCCAAUUUCUACCUGUUGUCUCCUGAUCUAUCAUCACUGAUGACCAAGCGAAUGCCUUCGGUAUUCCUUGAUCCAUUGUCGUUUAAUCUUGUUGGAUCUAUGCUCAAGGUCACCUCUCGAUCUCUUCUUCUUUGAUCGAUUUCUGCUGUGAGUAUGUGUUGGGUGUCACCGAUCGCUGGAAUAUCUGAUUCUAGCCAUUCCCUGGCUUGACGAGGAAUUUCUGGCCACAAGAAGGGUUAAGACUGGAUAGGGCCACCAAUUUUGGUAGAGGUCAUCUAUUUCCUGUCUCUCACAGUUGCAAUUAGAGAGGAAGUUACUUUGGAUUUAGAUUAAGGUAAGGUAUGUUCAGUACCUAAUUAAUAGAGAAUUUGUUCUGUUGCUGCA